UUGUGUUGCGGCAGGACUCGCUGGUGACGGAUCUUAGGGGAGCAGGAUGAGGGGGGCCGCGGCAGGGCCACAACUGUGGCGGGAGGAGGAAGAGGUGGCCGAGCUUGGCAGGGGCUACUCAGCAAUGCGUACGGCCGCUGCAGCGAGCUUCCUGAGAAUGCGAGGACUCAAUGUAUUUAAGGCAAAACAGAUGUUCUUGAAUAUGCUGAAAUGGCGUCAAUAUUGUGUUUGUUAAUGCCAUUGCAAAGGCUGAGUGAAGGCCUGGCGCAGGUUCCCGGAAUGACAGUGAUGAUCCAGAGCAUCCGUUAGACCUGUGACGUGAGGCUACCAUAGGCAUCAGCAAGAUUAUACCUGCCUAAUUUUAUGUGCAAGCAGCGCCAUCAGCAGUUGUCUCGCGCUCUCACGCUGUCAUUUAAUACGUUAUGUCUCCAUGUGUUACUGCAAAUCAGGUAUUUUCCUUUCUUUCUUUUGUUGCAUCUCUAGGCUCACAGUUCUAUUUUUACCUUUCUCUCUGGGUAAGUAGUAGUGAUUUUAGUAGAAAAUAAUAUGUUGAACAUGAAAUAUUGUGCUUUCAGUUAAAGAACUAAUAUAGAAGAUUAUAGAUAUAUUAGUUAAUCCCCUAUUAGUUUCUUGGAUUGACGAAUCAUCCAGGCAUCAUGCUAGAUGGUAAAACAAAAGGAUUUUUACAUGCAUGUUCAUCUGAUCUGCCUUGAAGUGAUUAUUUCCCACCUUGUUUUAUCUCACGACCAAUUAUAUUAUAUUUACUAUGUUACAUCAAAGUAGAUCCUUCUGUUUAACAUCGACCAUCUCUAUUUAAUCCCCCAAUAGGUCAAGCUAUGCAAACUAGCCAGUACCUUCUCAGUUGGCAAGUUUUAAAAGGUAGGAUGCUAUGGGAAAUUGAGAGAUGGAUGUCGCCGCUAUCAUGAGAUCGGCGUUUGGGGCUACCUCAACAGCGUUGUUGAUCUGCAGCAGCUCAGAAAGUAGUAUGACCAUGUUAGUUGGGAUAAAAUGCUAGAGUGACAAUGCUGAUGCAGCCUCAGACCACCACAAAAGAUAUAGGUACC